rnacentral:sRNA from 1 species
AUCAAAACCGAACUCCCCCUGGGCGCACGGCGGAAGAUGAAGCCACUGCUACCGCGGGUCAGCUCAUACCUGGUGCCUAUCCAGUUCCCGGUGAACCAGUCACUGGUGCUGCAGCCCUCGGUGAAGGUGCCACUGCCCCUGGCGGCUUCCCUCAUGAGCUCAGAGCUUGCCCGCCAUAGCAAGCGAGUCCGCAUCGCCCCCAAGGUGGGUGUCCUAUUUUCCUCUGAAGAGAGAUUCUGGCCAAUUAAGAAUGUUGAACCUUCAGCUUGCAAAGCACUCUGAUAAGUGUUCCUUGAGAGCUUAUAAAUCUAGUUGGGUAGAAAAGGCAUAAAAACAUAGGGAAGUGUAAUAGCAUUAGAAGAGCUAAAAAGGUAUUUGGAUUACAAUGUAAGUGGUGUCAGAAGGCCCAUAAAUACCUGAUGAGCUUGUAAGAAUUCAGACAAAAGUGAUUGUGAUAGAUGGGCUAGGAUGAUUAAGGAAGAUACACAAGGGAGGCAGGCCUUAGAAAGAGAUGGAUUUGGCCGGGCGCUGUGGCUUACACCUGUAAUCCCAGCACUUUGGGAGGCCAAGGCAGGUGGAUCAUGAGGUCAGGAGUUUGAGACCAGCCUGGCCAACGUGGCGAAACCCCGUCUCUACUAAAAAAUACAAAAAUUAGCUGGGCUUGGUGGCACAUGCCUGUAAUCCCAGCUACUUGGGAGGCUGAGGCUGGAGAAUCACAUGAGCCCAGGAAGGGAAGUUGCAGUGAGCCGAGAUCACUGCACUCCAGCCUGGGUGA